AUUUCUGCCAACGGCAGUUUUUGUCGGGUCCAUUUGAACGGCCAUUAGAUAGUUUUUUCAAAUUUACAAGUGAAAAUCAUGCAAAUACUUAUUUAAAGGGACUGAAAUGCAUAAACAUCCGUUUCCCACUUCAAGUGAAAAUCUCAAAACAGUGUUCCGCCACUGCGCUAGAAGACUCGGUGGAACCGCAAGAAUAUGAAUGCAAGGAUUCCGGAGCUCUGAUGGAUACACCAAGUCUCGAGAACAAUGAGUCUGGCACGAUCAAUAACCUUUCAACCAGCUUCCAACUUCAUUGGGCCGAUGUCAGUUGCCCUUUAUGUUAUCUCUGGAAAUGCAGCGCGACCAUUUGCAAUAAAAGAACAUUUACAUUCUUUAUUUAUAAGACUUGCAGCCCGUGGCUGGCUCGUCCCGAAUAUAACAUAACAUUUGAU